rnacentral:rRNA from 1 species
ACGAACGCUGGCGGCGUGCUUCACACAUGCAAGUCGAACGGAAAGGCCCUGCUUUUGUGGGGUGCUCGAGUGGCGAACGGGUGAGUAACACGUGAGUAACCUGCCCUUGACUUUGGGAUACUUCAGGAAACUGGGGCUAAUACCGGAUAGGAGCUCCUGCUGCAUGGUGGGGGUUGGAAAGUUUCGGCGGUUGGGGAUGGACUCGCGGCUUAUCAGCUUGUUGGUGGGGUAGUGGCUUACCAAGGCUUUGACGGGUAGCCGGCCUGAGAGGGUGACCGGCCACAUUGGGACUGAGAUACGGCCCAGACUCCUACGGGAGGCAGCAGUGGGGAAUAUUGCACAAUGGGCGGAAGCCUGAUGCAGCAACGCCGCGUGCGGGAUGACGGCCUUCGGGUUGUAAACCGCUUUCGCCUGUGACGAAGCGUGAGUGACGGUAAUGGGUAAAGAAGCACCGGCUAACUACGUG